rnacentral:rRNA from 1 species
AUUGAACGCUGGCGGCAGGCCUAACACAUGCAAGUCGAACGAGUGGCGGACGGGUGAGUAAUGUCUGGGAAACUGCCAGAUGGAGGGGGAUAACUACUGGAAACGGUAGCUAAUACCGCAUACCAUCAGAUGCGCCCAGAGGGGAUUAGCUAGUUGGUGGGGUAACGGCUCACCAAGGCGACGAUCCCUAGCUGGUCUGAGAGGAUGACCAUCCACCCUGGAACUGAGUCUCGGUCCAGACUCCUACGGGAGGCAGCAGUGGGGAAUAUUGCUCAAUGGGCGCAAGCCUGAUGCAGCCAUGCCGCGUGUAUGAAGCAGGCCUUCGGGUUGUAAAGUACUUUCAGCGGGGAGGCGUUACCCGCAGAAGAAGCACCGGCUAACUCCGUGCCAGCAGCCGCGGUAAUAC